rnacentral:rRNA from 2 species
AAUUCGUUGCACUAUCGUUAACUGAAUACAUAGGUUAACGAGGCGAACCGGGGGAACUGAAACAUCUAAGUACCCCGAGGAAAAGAAAUCAACCGAGAUUCCCCCAGUAGCGGCGAGCGAACGGGGAGCAGCCCAGAGUCUGAAUCAGCUUGUGUGUUAGUGGAACGGUCUGGAAAGUCCGACGGUACAGGGUGAUAGUCCCGUACACCAAAAUGCACAGGUUGUGAACUCGAAGAGUAGGGCGGGACACGUGGUAUCCUGUCUGAAUAUGGGGGGACCAUCCUCCAAGGCUAAAUACUCCUGACUGACCGAUAGUGAACCAGUACCGUGAGGGAAAGGCGAAAAGAACCCCGGCGAGGGGAGUGAAAAAGAACCUGAAACCGUGUACGUACAAGCAGUGGGAGCACCUUCGGGUGUGACUGCGUACCUUUUGUAUAAUGGGUCAGCGACUUAUAUUCUGUAGCAAGGUUAACCGUAUAGGGGAGCCGCAGGGAAACCGAGUCUUAACUGGGCGUUAAGUUGCAGGGUAUAGACCCGAAACCCGGUGAUCUAGCCAUGGGCAGGUUGAAGGUUGGGUAACACUAACUGGAGGACCGAACCGACUAAUGUUGAAAAAUUAGCGGAUGACUUGUGGCUGGGGGUGAAAGGCCAAUCAAACCGGGAGAUAGCUGGUUCUCCCCGAAAGCU